rnacentral:rRNA from 1 species
GACAGAGGUGCCGAGCGUUAGGCGGAAUCACUGGGCUUAAAGCGUGUGUAGGCGGACCGUUAAGUAUCUUGUGAAAUCCCCCCGGCUCAACCGGGGAAUGGCUGGAUAUACUGGCGGUCUUGAGCGAUCUAGGGGCAGAUGGAACAAGUGGUGGAGCGGUGAAAUGCGUAGAUAUCACUUGGAACGCCAAAGGUGAAAACAGUCUGCUGGGGAUCUGCUGACGCUGAGACACGAAAGCCAGGGGAGCGAACGGG